rnacentral:rRNA from 1 species
UACGUAGGCGGAAGAUUAAGUCAGUGGUGAAAUCCCGCAGCUCAACUGUGGAACUGUCAUUGAUACUGGUUUUCUUGAAUUUAGUUGAGGUAGGCGGAAUGUGUAAUGUAGCGGUGAAAUGCUUAGAUAUUACACAGAACACCGAUUGCGAAGGCAGCUUACUAAACUAUGAUUGACGCUGAGGUACGAAAGCGUGGGGAGCGAACAGGAUUAGAUACUCUGGUAGUCC